rnacentral:tRNA from 1 species
CGUAGCAAAGAGGUUAGUAUGUCAGUUUAUGACGCUGAUCGCCUGGGUUCGAAUCCCAGCG